GGAGUGGUGUCCGAGUUGGUCGAAGGAGCACGAUUGGAAAUCGUGUAGGCGGUCAAACGUCUCGUGGGUUCGAAUCCCACUCACUCCG
rnacentral:tRNA from 1 species